GGACCCCAUAGAGUCCAAUAGGGACCCAUAGGGACCCAUAGAGACCCAUAGAGACCCCAUAGAGACCCCAUAGGGACCCAUAGAGACCCAUAGAGACCCCAUAGGAACCCAUAGGGACCCCAUAGAGCCCCAUAGGGACCCAUAGAGCCCCCCAUAGAGCCCCAUAGAGCCCCAUACAAACCCCUUGCCCCCUCCCCCCCCCCAAACCCCGUGACCCCGUGACCUUUGACCCCCCGCUGACCUCCAUGUGCGGCCCCAUGGCCCAGCAGCGCCCGCAGCCGUGGGGCAGCAGCACCCCGUGCACAAGCAGCUGCAGGACGGCCAGCACGGCGCUCAGCACCGACAGCGACAGGGCGGCGCGCAGCUGCGGCAUCCCAUAAUAGCCCGUGGGCAUCCCAUAGUAACCCCAUAGGUAUAGCCCAUAAUAACCCAUGGACAUCCCAUAAUAAUCCCAUAGGUAUGUCCCAUAAUAGCCCGUGGACAUCCCAUAGUAACCCCAUAGGUAUAUCCCAUAAUAGCCCGUGGACAUCCCAUAAUAACCCCAUGGAUAUGUCCCAUAAUAGCCCAUGGACAUCCCAUAAUAACCCCAUAGGUAUAGCCCAUAGGUAUCCCAUAAUAACCCCAUAGGUAUUGCCCACGGACAUCCCAUAAUAACCCCGCGGAUAUAUCCCAUGGACAUCCCAUAAUAACCCCAUAGGUAUAUCCCAUAAUAGCCCAUAGACAUCCCAUAAUAACCCCAUGGAAACCCCAUGGACAUCCCAUAAUAACGCCAUGGAUAGCCCAUAAUAAUCCCAUAGAUAUCCCAUAGAAAUCCUAUAGACAUCCCAUAAUAACCCCAUAGAUACAUCCCAUAAUAGCCCACAGACAUCCCAUAAUAACCCCAUGGAUAUAUCCCAUGGACAUCCCAUAAUAACCCCAUAGAUAUCCCACAGACAUCCCAUAAUAACCCCAUAGAAACCCCAUGGACAUCCCAUAAUAACCCCACGGACAUCCCAUAGAAACCCUGUAGGUACCCCAUAAAUCCCCCAUAGAUCCCCCAUAGACAUCCCAUAAUAACCCCAUAGACAUCCCAUAAUAACCCCAUAGAAAUCCCAUAGAAAUCCUAUAGACA
rnacentral:lncRNA from 1 species